rnacentral:rRNA from 1 species
GACGUAGGGUGCGAGCGUUGUCCGGAAUUACUGGGCGUAAAGAGUUCGUAGGCGGUUUGUCGCGUCGUUCGUGAAAACUUGGGGCUUAACUCCAAGCGUGCGGGCGAUACGGGCAGACUUGAGUACUACAGGGGAGACUGGAAUUCCUGGUGUAGCGGUGAAAUGCGCAGAUAUCAGGAGGAACACCGGUGGCGAAGGCGGGUCUCUGGGUAGUAACUGACGCUGAGGAACGAAAGCGUGGGGAGCAAACAGG